rnacentral:tRNA from 1 species
UGUCCCGUGGUGUAACUGGUAACACGUCUGAUUUUGGUUCAGAAGACUCCUGGUUCGAGCCCAGGCGGGACAG